GACGAACGCUGGCGGCGUGCUUAACACAUGCAAGUCGAACGGAACGGCCCUGCUUUUGUGGGGGCCUCGAGUGGGGAACGGGAGAGUCACACGAGAGUAACCUGCCCUUGACUUUGGGAUAACUUCAGGACACUGGGGCGAAUACCGGCCAGGAGACCCUGCUGAAUGGUGGGUGUUGGAAAGUUUUGGCUGUUGGGGAUGGACUUGCGGCUUAUGCGCUUGUUGGUGGGGUAGCGGACUACCCAGGCGAUGAUGGGUAGCCGACCUGAGAGACUGACCGGCCACAGUGGGACUGAGACACGGCCCAAAAUCCUAAGGGAGGCAGCAGUAGGGAAUCUUCCACAAUGGACGCAAGUCUGAUGGAGCAACGCCGCGUGAGGGAAGAAGGGUUUCGGCUCGUAAAGCUCUGUUGUGGGUGAAGAAGGACAGGGGUAGUAACUGACCUUUGUUUGACGGUAAUCAAUUAGAAAGUCACGGCUAACUACGUG
rnacentral:rRNA from 1 species